CCUACGAGAGGCAGCAGUGAGGAAUAUUGGUCAAUGGCCGUAAGGCUGAACCAGCCAAUUCGCGUGAAGGAAGACGGAUCUAUGGUUUGUAAACUCCUUAUAUAGGGGCAUAAAGGUAUUCACGUGUGGAUAUUUGCAUGUACGCUAUGAUUAAGCAUCGGCUAACUACGUGCCAGCAGCCGCGGUAAGACGGAGGAUGCGAGCGUUAUCCGGAUUUAUUGGGUUUAAAGGGUGCGUAGGUUGUUGUUUAAGUCAGCGGUGAAAGUUUGUGGCUCAACCAUAAAAUUGCCGUUGAGACUGGAUGACUUGAGUGUGUUAGAGGUAGGCGGAAUGCGUGGUGUAGCGGUGAAAUGCAUAGAUAUCACGCAGAACUCCGAUUGCGAAGGCAGCUUACUAAGCCAUAACUGACACUGAAACACGAAAGCGUGGGGAUCAAACAGGAUUAGAUACCCUAGUAGUC
rnacentral:rRNA from 1 species